CAUGCAGGUGGUUUCGUUAGUCGGAUGUGAAAGCCUCUGGCUUAACUAGAGGAGGUCGUUCGAUACUGCGAAACUAGAGGUCGGGAGAGGAAAGCGGAAUUCCCGGUGUAGUGGUGGAAUGCGUAGAUAUCGGGAGGAACACCAGUGGCGAAGGCGGCUUUCUGGCCCGCACCUGACACUAAGAUGCGAAAGCGUGGGUAGCGAACG
rnacentral:rRNA from 1 species